UACAGAGGGUGCAAGCGUUGCUCGGAUUUACUGGGCGUAAAGCGUACGCAGACGGUGAGAAAGGUCGGAUGUGAAAGCCCCCGGGCUCAACCCGGGAACUGCAUCCGAAACCAUCUCGCUAGAGUAUGGGAGAGGGAAGCGGAAUUCCUGGUGUAGAGGUGAAAUUCGUAGAUAUCAGGAGGAACACCUGCGGCGAAGGGCGGCUUCCUGGCCCAUUACUGACGUUCAGGUACGAAAGCGUGGGUAGCAAACAGGG
rnacentral:rRNA from 1 species